rnacentral:rRNA from 1 species
GGCGGCGUGCCUAAUACAUGCAAGUCGAACGCAUUGUGGUUGAAAUGAUAUGAAGAACUUGUUCAGAUUUGAUUUUCAACAUUGCAAUGAGUGGCGAACGGGUGAGUAACACGUGGGAAACCUACCUCUUAGCAGGGGAUAACAUUUGGAAACAAAUGCUAAUACCGUAUAAUAAUUAAAACCGCAUGGUUUUAGUUUAAAAGAUGGUCUUGCUAUCACUAAGAGAUGGUCCCGCGGUGUAUUAGUUAGUUGGUGAGGUAAUGGCUCACCAAGACAAUGAUACAUAGCCGAGUUGAGAGACUGACCGGCCACAAUGGGACUGAGACACGGCCCAUACUCCUACGGGAGGCAGCAGUAGGGAAUCUUCCACAAUGGACGAAAGUCUGAUGGAGCAACGCCGCGUGUGUGAUGAAGGGUUUCGGCUCGUAAAACACUGUUGUAAGAGAAGAAUGACAUUGAGAGUAACUGUUCAAUGUGUGACGGUAUCUUACCAGAAAGGAACGGCUAAAUACGUGCCAGCAGCCGCGGUAAUACGUAUGUUCCAAGCGUUAUCCGGAUUUAUUGGGCGUAAAGCGAGCGCAGACGGUUAUUUAAGUCUGAAGUGAAAGCCCUCGGCUCAACCGAGGAAUUGCUUUGGAAACUGGAUAACUUGAGUGCAGUAGAGGAAAGUGGAACUCCAUGUGUAGCGGUGAAAUGCGUAGAUAUAUGGAAGAACACCA